CAGGAAAUGUGCAUACACGAGCAACUUUCAUCAGUAAAGUAUUGUCCAAAUUUAGAGAAGUAUGGUUGGGAAAUGAGCAGAAAACAAGUAUCUCACAAUAUUACAGAUUGCUGGAUUGGGUGGUUCGGCCUGUUCCUUCCUGUUCUGUGGCACAGGAUGAAAGCUGGCAGACACUGUGCAGAGCUUCUACUUUUGUGGUAUCCAGCCCACUGAAAUCAAAGACACAUCACUCUAUCUCACAAAAGAAUUCUCCAGGAGCAUCAAAGCUGAAUUUACUGGAGACUCCUCUUGUGGCUAAGGUUAUUGAAGACAGUGCAGUGAAGGUAUAAAAACUUAAGAAGCAGCACCUAAACCACCUAAAUUAUAUGGUGAACUACAUCCAUAAGGCAAUCUUCAAUGCAGCUAUGAUACUAUAAAGCAUCAGUUUUUAUGUGGUUUGCCUGAUAAUAAAAAUGGUGAAUGUGA